CAAGGUGGUAAUCCACUAUACUGUUAUCAGUAAUGUCCAUUACCCUCAGGGUAUUGGGACCUCCCACGACCCUCUGGGUAUUAGAGGCUAUCAAUAAUAACCAGCAGAACAGCUACCAGUUCAAAUCAGACUCACUGCUCUUCAUAAUCUCGCCCAAAAUAGUUUAUCCAUAUGUAUGUAUGUAUGCAGUCAGAUGUACACAACCAGAAUACCAGUCUCAGAUAAUUAAUCAGAAGUAGACAUUCACAUCCAACCAAUCAAAUAGAAUCAGUUGCACACACACUCACCCAAUUAAUCAGGUUUAGAAUCAAACAUGUCACAUAUCCAAUCAUAAAGAGCACAUUAUUCAAACUCAG
rnacentral:lncRNA from 1 species